ensembl:lncRNA
CGGAAAUAAUAACAUUUAAUGUGGUUGUUUUUCAAAUCUGGAAUUAUUAAAGAACUACAUCUUAUGAUUAUCUCUUCACUCAGUAAUAUAUUUUUAUAAUGUAACUGUCUCAAAUGUCUGUAACACUCAGGGAAAUAAGCUCCCAUUCAAAAGCGUAGUAAACAUAAAUAUACCUGGGUGAAGCACCAGAGGAUAUAAACAGGCAAUUUGCAGAAUGACAACUCUCAAAAACUAACACUCAUAUGAGAGGUGCUCACAAAUGUUAAUAAUCCAGGAAAUGCAAAUUGAUGCAACAAUGAGAUACAAUUUUACACCUAUUAGAUUGGCAAAUAUUAGGAAGUUCAGUAAAACUGAGUGUUGCGGGGAUGUGGGAUUACAGCAACCUCAUGCACUGACCUCCUAAUUGGACAAAUUGAGGAAUCCCCCAGUGUGUGUGGCUUGAUGGAAAACAGGCUCCAGCUUCCACCAGGGAUGCUGCAGGAUGCUGUACAUUUUCUUUCCACACCUGCUGACAGGCAGGGCCUGGGCCCGCUCCCUGCGACUGGCCACUCAGGUUAGCCUUCCCAAGAAUUUGAAUCAGGUGCUAAAGGUACAAAGACCCCAGAAAAGUUAGCGAUUCUUCUCAGAAGAAGCAAUGGACUCCAGCACCCAGCAGUAUGGCUUUGAGUGUCCAGUGUGUUUCUGCCUGUGGCAGGGUCCUCCCAGGACUGCUUCUGUGCAUAGCUUAUCAGUAUUCUUCCCAGCUUCCCCAUCCGGGAGUGCUUGGUUCUUCAGCUUUCAGGAAGAUGGAGUAGACACACUUCUCCCUAUUCCUCCCAGUAAGGACAACUAAACACUCUGGACAUUUGGGAAACUUUCAGCCAUUAUUUCUUUGAAUACCUUUUCAGCCUUGUCUUCUUUCUUUUCUUCUUCUGCAACUUCAGUGACACAAACACUGGGUCUUGUGAUAGUCUCACAGGUCCCUGAAGCUCCGUUCAUUGUUUUCCAUUUAUUUUCUCUCCGUUUUUCAGUCUGGGUGGUUUCUCUAGUUAUAGUUCCCAAUUCAGUGAUUUUUUUCCCCUCUCUCUCCUCUAUUUGGCUAUUGAGCCCAUCCAUUCAUUUUGGUUAUUGUAUUUUUUCAGUAGAUUUAGUUUGUAUAUAAAGCAAGUAUAAGAAUAUUCUGAAAAGUGGGGAAAAGAAGGCAGCCCAGCUAGGAGACUUGGGACCAUCAUAGUGCGUUCUCCUGGCUUUCAUUUUGUCUCAUAUAUCCCAGACUUGAAGAAGUUCACGACCUGGAAACUCUAGUGUUUGAGAUGGGGGGAAAAGUCCCAACAAAAACCUACUCCCUCUAGACAAAGCAAAAACAAAACAGAAAGCAGAAAAGGGGCAGCCUUACAAGAUAGAAACCCUUGAGACAAUAACCUUUCUACUCCAGCCAAAUACCACAGAAAAGACUGUGGCCCACCCACACUCACACAAGCAAAGGCAGAGUGGAGAUCCUAGAAUUCCACCCACACCAGGCUGUAAAGAGGCACCUCAACUCUCCCCAUGGGCUCCCUGCAAUAUCAGUGAAGACAGUCAGGGAGCCUGG